AGGAGAAUCACAUCCUUUGGACCAUCUGUCCAUCUUACACAGGUAGAACAUGUCAUAGGCUCUGUCUCCCAACAGAUAGCUACUGUAAAGUCAUCAAAACAAAAGGCCAUCUGUCUGGGAAUGUCCAGCCCUCAUAUUGAAGGGAUGCCUCUGUAGCGGCUCAAGGCUGCACAUCCAGUGUCAAGCCAUGUCACUGCCUUACUGAAGUGGCUUACCAUCUCAGAGCCAAGAUGUGCCAUCUUAGACUGGAGAAGAAGUUCACCCUUGCUCUCUGUCCAGGCUUUUUGAAAUGAGUGGAGCCUACAUCAUAGAAUGGAUGAAUCAGUAAGUGAAUAAAUGAAUGAGAAGGUACACUGUACACAUCAUAUGUAUGGGAAGAAUUCAUAGACACUCCCCCUUUCUUGGAGCCCAUGCAGUGUAAGUUAUAGGUGCAUGUUUUCUUGGCUCUAAAGUAGAGAAAGAAGCUCAGCACAUGGCACUGAAUGUUGAAAACUGACUUAGAA